CAAAAUCCAAUGCAAAAAACCUCUCUUCUAUCAAAAUCCAGACAAAAGCAUUACUUAAGGUUUGGUACCCAGCACUUCUCUUUUAAAAUCCACUGUGCUAUGCCUUAGGGGCUGAAAACUGCAGCUCUUUUAAUCUUUACGUUAGUACAACUGUGUUUGGAGAAGAUGCUCAGCAACGAGACAAAGUUAAACUCAUUAAUUAACUUCAGCGAUUAUGAUAUAUCACAGAGGCCAGCUGCAGUCUUACAGCAGAGGAAAACACAGGUAAGGGGAAUCAAAGACCAUGUGAAGGGAAGAAAAGAACAAGGGCAAGCCCUGGCAUGACGUCUCACACUACAGAAAUACUUCAAAGACAUCACACACAUUUCUUCUGCAAAAAGAAGAGACAUGUUAUGUUCUUACAGCUUCAUGAAGACUGGAGGAAAAUGACAUGUGAGGAAUCCCAAAAGCUCUGCACCAGAGAAAGACCUUUGGCCUUUUCUCAGACAUCAGUCUUGAGGGAAUAAA